rnacentral:rRNA from 1 species
UUUAUCGGAGAGUUUGAUCCUGGCUCAGGAUGAACGCUGGCGGCGUGCCUAAUACAUGCAAGUCGAGCGAACGGAUAAGGAGCUUGCUCCUUUGAAGUUAGCGGCGGACGGGUGAGUAACACGUGGGUAACCUACCUAUAAGACUGGAAUAACUUCGGGAAACCGGAGCUAAUGCCGGAUAACAUAUAGAACCGCAUGGUUCUAUAGUGAAAGAUGGUUUUGCUAUCACUUAUAGAU